UACGUAGGUGGCAAGCGUUGUCCGGAUUUACUGGGCGUAAAGAGCGCGCAGGCGGUCGUUCAAGUCGCGUGUGAAAGCCCCCGGCUCAACUGGGGAGGGUCACGCGAUACUGAUCGACUGGAAGGCAGGAGAGGGUAGUGGAAUUCCCGGUGUAGUGGUGAAAUGCGUAGAUAUCGGGAGGAACACCAGUGGCGAAGGCGGUUGCCUGGAGCUUUGCUGACGCUGAUGCGCGAAAGCGUGGGGAGCGAUCCGG
rnacentral:rRNA from 1 species